rnacentral:rRNA from 1 species
AUCGAACGCUGGCGGCAGGCCUAACACAUGCAAGUCGAGCGGAGCGGCGGACGGGCGAGUAAUGCCCAGGUAUCUGCCUUGUAGUGGGGGAUAGCGUCCCGAUUCGGGAGCUAAUAUCGUACACUAUCCGAUGAGCCUAGGUCGGAUUCGCUUGUUGGUGGGGUAAAGGCCUACCAAGGCGAUGACCCGUACCUGGUCUGAGAGGAUGAUCAGUCACCCUGGAACUGAGACACGGUCCAGAUUCCUACGGGAGGCAGCAGUGGGGAAUAUUGGACAAUGGGCGAAAGCCUGAUCCAGCCAUGCCGCGUGUGGGAAGAAGGUCUUCGGAUGGUAAAGCACUUUAAGUUGGGAGGCGUUACCAACAGAAUAAGCACCGGCUAACUUCGUGCCAGCAGCCGCGGUAAUAC